UAGGUAGGUGGCAAGCGUUGUCCGGAAUUAUUGGGCGUAAAGCGCGCGCAGGCGGUCUUUUAAGUCUGAUGUGAAAGCCCCCGGCUCAACCGGGGAGGGCCAUUGGAAACUGGGAGACUUGAGUACAGAAGAGGAGAGUGGAAUUCCACGUGUAGCGGUGAAAUGCGUAGAUAUGUGGAGGAACACCAGUGGCGAAGGCGACUCUCUGGUCUGUAACUGACGCUGAGGCGCGAAAGCGUGGGGAGCAAACAGG
rnacentral:rRNA from 1 species